UUAUAUUCAACGUUUCAUUUAAUAAAUUCUCAUAAUAAUAUUUUGUGAUAGACAUCUUUACUAUUCCUAAGUAUAAAAAGGAGACAAAAAGGCUAAAUAACUUGCCAGAUAUCAUAGCUUAUUAUAUUAAAGGUGUUCAGUAAGGUGUAUGUAGAUAUUAAAAUCAUCCUGCCUUCAAGGUUUUAGCGAUCAAGUAGGAAAGACAAGAAUAAAGAGAAAAAAAUAAAGUAUAGGUACAGCAAAUGCCAUAAGAAAUGAGAAAAAUGCUAUGGAAACACUGAUAUGGGGGCAGUUAACUUGGUCUGAAAAACAAGAGGCUGAGGAAAGUUCUAGAGAAAGAAAGCAAUCUUUCAAGCCUGACUUUGACGUAUGAAUAGAACUUCCAUAGCUAAGACAGUUAUGGCUGGGCAGAGUGGCUCACUCCUGUAAUCCCAGCACUUUGGGAGUCCGUGGCAGGUGGAUCACUUGAGGUCAGGUGCUUGAGACCAGUCUGGCCAACAUAGUGAAACCCCUUCUCUACCAAAAAACACAAAAAUUAGCCGGGCAUGGUGGCGCAUGCCUGUAGUCCCAGCUGCUCGGGGGGCUGAGGUGGGAGGAUUGCUUGAGCCCAUUGAGGUGGGAGGUUGCAGUGAGCCAAGAUUGUGCCACUGCACUCCAGCCUGGGCAACAGAGUGAGACUCUGUCUCAAAAAAAAAAAAAAAAAAAAAAAAAAAAAGACAAAGUCAGGAAGGAAAGAAAGGGCAAAGCCGAAAGACAUUGCAAACUAUGAGAAUAGCAGGAACAAAGAGGUUGGGAAGUACAAAUUAUACAUGGCCCCUACCUGAAUAGUUCAGUAGGCAGGUAUGGAUCUGCAGAGGAGGAUGAGGCUAUACAAAUAUUUUUGUUGAAUGGUUUUGGAUGCACUGAAUGCCAAGUCAAAGCAUAAGCGAUGACUUUUAGAACGGCUCUUUUGUUAUUCAGUUGUGUGUGUCUCAAUAACCACAGUAAACAUUAUCAAAACUAACACAUGACAGGGUACUUACUUUUCAGAAACCUUUUUCCACUAUUUUAGGGAAUUCUCUGCUAAAGAAAAGAAAUCAUAGGCAGGUAAGUGAGAGA
rnacentral:lncRNA from 1 species